rnacentral:rRNA from 1 species
AUUGAACGCUGGCGGCAGGCCUAACACAUGCAAGUCGAGCGAGCGGCGGACGGGUGAGUAAUGUAUGGGGACUGCCCGAUAGAGGGGGAUAACUACUGGAAACGGUAGCUAAUACCGCAUACUAUCGGAUAACCCAUAUGGGAUUAGCUAGUAGGUGAGGUAAUGGCUCACCUAGGCGACGAUCCCUAGCUGGUCUGAGAGGAUGAUCAGCCACACUGGAACUGGGACACGGCCCGGACUCCUACGGAGGCGGCGUUGGGGAAUAUUGCACAAUGGGGGCAAGCUGGAUGCGGCCAGGCGGCGUGAAUGAAGAAGGCCUUAGGUUGGUAAAGAACUUUCGGUGGGGAGGCUUUACCGCAAGAAGAGGCACCGGCUAACUCCGUGCCAGAAGCCGGGGUAAUAC